GACGAACGCUGGCGGCGUGCUUAACACAUGCAAGUCGAACGGAAAGGCCCUGCGUUUGUGGGGUGCUCGAGUGGCGAACGGGUGAGUAACACGCGAGUAACCUGCCCUUGACUUUGGGAUAACUUCAGGAAACUGGGGCUAAUACCGGAUAGGAGCUCCUGCUGCAUGGUGGGGGUUGGAAAGUUUCGGCGGUGGGGGAUGGACUCGCGGCUUAUCAGCUUGUUGGUGGGGUAGUGGCUUACCAAGGCUUUGACGGGUAGCCGGCAUGAGAGGGUGACCGGCCACAUUGGGACUGAGAUACGGCCCAGACUCGUACGGGAGGCAGCAGGGGGGAAUUUUGCACAAUGGGCGGACGCCUGAUGCAGCAACGCCGCGUGCGGGAUGACGGCCUUCGGGUUGUAAACCGCUGUCGCCUGUGACGAAGCGUGAGUGACGGUAAUGGGUAAAGAAGCACCGGCUAACUACGUG
rnacentral:rRNA from 1 species